rnacentral:rRNA from 1 species
UACGUAGGGCGCGAGCGUUGUCCGGAUUUAUUGGGCGUAAAGAGCUCGUAGGCGGCUUGUCGCGUCGACUGUGAAAUCCCGAGGCUCAACCUCGGGUCUGCAGUCGAUACGAGCAAACUAGAGUGUUGCAGGGGAGACUGGAAUUCCUGGUGUAGCGGUGAAAUGCGCAGAUAUCAGGAGGAACACCGAUGGCGAAGGCAGGUCUCUGGGCUGUAACUGACGCUGAGGAGCGAAAGCCAGGGGAGCGAACGGG